AAAGAAGCGAGAUCAUGCCAUGGCAGAAGAACAGCAUAUACUACUACGACAAAGAUCUCCUCAGGCUCGACUGGUGCAGUCGCUGUGUAAAAUGUUUUAAAUAGUUUUCCUUUUGUGUACCAUGACAAAAACCACAGCAUACAAGUUCAGAAUGACAUGAAGAUGAUCAAGCAGUGACCGAAUCUCAACUAUUCAUUUAACCUUCUGUCAUUCGAAUGUCUCACCACAGGAAAUUAUGUGCAAGAUUAUUCUGUUCCACCUGUGAGUGAAGCGGCUCCUCCAUCUUUAGCCCAUUACACCCAGUAAACGCCAUAGAUUUCCUCGCAUAGAUCUGGCCACAUCGCAUUAGCUUUAUGUUAGUCUGUAAGGUCUAUAGGCCAUUGGUUUCCGUUUGGCCUGAUCGCCGCUGACAGAGGAUCAGAGAACUGCUGGUGUGUGCGACUCUUUGGGAGCAUCGGAUAUCAGCUACAAUAAAUCCACAAUGACUUUGUUACUGACACAUAACAAAACACUCUGUUUAAUAA